rnacentral:rRNA from 7 species
GACCUCAAAUCAGGUAG